rnacentral:rRNA from 1 species
UGGGGAAUAUUGCGCAAUGGGGGCAACCCUGACGCAGCAACGCCGCGUGAAGGAUGAAGGUUUUCGGAUUGUAAACUUCUUUUGUUGAGGACGAAGAAAGUGACGGUACUCAACGAAUAAGCCACGGCUAACUACGUGCCAGCAGCCGCGGUAAUACGUAGGUGGCAAGCGUUGUCCGGAUUUACUGGGUGUAAAGGGCGAGUAGGCGGGUUUGCAAGUCAGAUGUGAAAUACCGGGGCUUAACCCCGGGGCUGCAUUUGAAACUGUAGAUCUUGAGUGAUGGAGAGGCAGGCGGAAUUCCCGGUGUAGCGAUGGAAUGCGUAGGAAUAUCGGGAGGAACACCAGUGGCGAAGGCGGCCUGCUGGACAUUAACUGACGCUGAGGAGCGAAAGCGUGGGGAGCAAACAGGAUUAGAUACC